CUCGCUUUGCCACCCAGUCUGGAGUGCAGCGGCGCGAUCUCAGCUCACUGCACCCUCCACCUCCUGGGUUCAAGCGAUUCUCCUGCCUCAGCCUCCCAAGUAGCUGGGAUUACAGGCACACACCACCAUGCCUGGCUAAUUUUUGUAUUUUUAGUAGAGAUGGGGUUACACCAUGUUGGCCAGGCUGGUCUCAAAUGCCCGACUUCAGGUGAUCCACCCGCCUCGAGCUCCCAAAGUGCUGGGAUUACAGGCGUGAGCCAUCGCGCCUGCCUUUACUUUCCCAUUCUUAACGCCUCCCGUUUCAGACCUGUCCCCUUUUCCCCGCAUUUCUGACUGUCACGGCACAUCACAACCAGCAGACAGGGCUUCCCCUAUUUCACAGGAGAAAUAGAAGCCAUCAGAUGGGACCUCCUUCAAAGUCCUGCCACCAAACCUCAGCAUGUACCUGGACCCACAUGUAUCCUCUUUUCCUUUGGGAUUGAAUUAGAGAGGUGCCGCUCGAAACCCGCUCCUGGGUGGGAGUCUUGGCUCUAUCAGUUAUGCCUCUAUUCUGUAUGUUUAACCUCGCCCUCGUAGGGGCAUAAAACAGCAUUUAAACAGGAUCAAGCUUUCCAUUUUAAAACUCCAUACACUCCCUUAAUUUCAUCUCCUCCUCCACCUACUGCCCCAUGUCUCUCCCUCUUCCUGGCUAAACGUCUCAAAAAAGUGGAUACACUUUCUGUCAACUCCUAAACACUCCUCACGCUCAUUUGGCCUCUGCUCCUCCCUUCCUCCUCCCACUUCAUUGGAACUACUUCUGCCAAAGAGGAUCCCUGAGUCAGCCUGACUGGUAACCCCAAUGGACUCUACUCAAUAUGCAACAUCCUUCACUUCUUAGCAGAGUUUGAAACAGCCUGACUCUCCUCUUCUGGCAACAUUCUUUUCCUUGGUUUGGGGACGCUGUACUGUUCUGGUUUUGCCCCUCCCUCCGAGCAUUCCUUGUGUUUGUCCUGGCCCAUUUUCUCCUCUCAUUCUACAUCCUCUCCCCGGGGAUUUUAGCUUCUCUCACGGCUCAGGUUACCAUCUCCAUAGUGAUGACUAUCAAAUUCUGUACCUCAUUUCCAGAGGCUCCUGACAGACUUGCUUGGUCAAUAUACUACUGGACAUAUUCAUGAGACUGUCUCACACAGGCAUCUCGAACCCAGUGUGUCCCACAAUUCUCUUCCUAUCCAUGCCUGUUCCUCUUCCACUGCCUCAUAUGUCGGUGACUGUCCACCUUCUCUCUCUCUCCCCCUCUCCGUUUGGCUCAUAGGAAAAGUGUCACCAAGGGCUGUAAGUGCAGAUUUCUAAUUAUCCCCUAAAUUUGAACAUUUUUCCUCUCGAAAGUGUAUGGCCAUUACCCUAUUACAGAUCAACAUCUUCAAUCACUGGAAUGAUGGCAAUAAUCUAAUUGGGUUCAUUUUAUCCUCUAUCUAACAAUGACAACUCAUUGCCUACACAGCAGGUAGAAGGAGUUUGUUUUCAGAAUUGCCCUCUGACCUAUUUAAGACGCUCAGAUAUUCCCUGAGGCUCCUUGGCCUGGCCACAAAGGCCCUACACAUUCUGGCUGCUUCCUCCUUUCCAGCAUCCUCUCUCACGUCUCCUCUCCUCAGUUCCACCCUCAGGAGGCACCAGAAUUCCUCACUUCUUUGACUACAAGGCACCGUCUUACUCCCAAGACCAGUGAAUCCGAAGGUGGACCACCAGCUGAGGGACUAGAUUCCAGACUGAAUAGAACAACUUUCCCUGUCUCUCCACAUAAAGUGUGUUUGUUUUUCCUCUUACAGGUUUCCUUAAUGACAACAAAAAAGGGAGUAAUCCUACCCACUGUAAGAGUCAUGACUCUUGAUUGCAGCUGACAGAAACUCAUGACAGCCUGCUUUAGAUGAAGGGGGAGAGAAGGACUGGAAGAAUCUUGGAGUUGGGAAUGUCACACGUAAUUGAAGGAAGAACAAGAAAACUAUAGUAAAGAACCCUGGGGUGGUGAUGUAGUCAUGGGCCAAGUGUCCUGGAACCCUGGGGUGGUGAUGUAGUUGUGGGCCAAGUGUCCUGGAACCCUGGGGUGGUGAUGUAGUCAUGGGCCAAGUGUCCUGGAACCCUGGGGUGGUGAUGUAGUUGUGGGCCAAGUGUCCUGGGUUUUGGGUGGAGAAAGAGUCCCCUAGAUAAGUUAUUAGGUGGGUGCAAAGGUAAUUGCAGUUUUUCCCAUUAUUUUAAUUGCGAAAACAGCAAUUACCUUUGCACCAACCUGAUGGAGUCCCCCUUGCCAUGCUUCUCUCUGUGAAAAACCCCAAGCCGAAGUCAGCAUAACAUCCACAGGACUCUAUGUUUGCAAAAGCCAGCUUAGCUAUAUUACAUGUAUAAGCACAUUUUUUCAAUAAGUCAGCCUUAGCUUACUGUAACUUUUUAACUUUAUAAACUUAGUAUUUUAACUUUUUAAACUUUUUUGUUGAAAACUAAGACACAAAAACACAUGUUAGCCUAGAUCCACACAGGGUCAGGGUCAUCAGUAUCACUGUCUUCCACCUCCACAUUUUGUCUCUCUGGAAGGUCUUCAGGGGCAAUAACACACAUGGAGCUGUCAUCGCCUGUGGUAACAAUGCCUUCUACAGUACUUCCCAAAGGGCCUGCUAGUUCACUUAAUUCUUUUAUAGAGAGAAGGAGUACACUCUAAAACACUGAUCAAUAGUAUAUUAUAGUAAAUACAUAAACCAGGAACACAUUUAUUAUCAUUAUCACGUAUUGUGUAUUGUACAGAAUGGUGUGUGCUGUGCUAUCCAGGAACACAUUUAUUAUCAUUAUCAAGUAUUGUGUACUGUACAGAAUGGUGUGCGCUGUGCUUUUAUGCAAGUGGCAGCACAGUAGCUUUACACGAGCAUCACUAGACACAUGAGUAGCAUUGCACUCGGCAACAGGAAUUUUUUCAGGCCCAUUAUUAUAAUCUUAUGGGACCGCAUCCUAUAUGCAGUUUGUCAUUGACCAAAAUGUCCUUAUGCGAUGCAUGACUAUAUUUGCAAAGGACUAGUAUCUAGAAUACAUUUAAAAGUCUUAAAAUAGUAACAAAACAAAGAAUGCAAUUAGAACAUGAGCAAAAGAUACAAAGCAACAUUUCACUGGAGAAGAUAUACAGAUUGCAAAUAAGCACAUGAAAAGAUGUUUGAUACCAUUAGGGAAACGCUUCUUUAAACCAGGAGAUAUCACCACGUGUUAGAAUCAACAAAAUAAGGCCAGGCAUGGUGGCUCACACCUGUAAUCCCAACACUUUGGGAGGCUGGGGCAGGCAGAUCACAUGAGAUCAGGAAUUCAAGACCAACCUGGCCAACAUGGCAAAACCCUGUCUCUGCUGAAAACACAAAAAUUAGCCAGGUGUGGUGGCACACGCCUGUAGUCCUAGCACCUUGGGAGGCUGAGGCAAGAUAAUUGCUUAAACCCAGGAGACGGAGGUUGCAGUAAGCUGAGAUCAUGCCACUGCGCUCCAGCCUGGGCGACAGAGCAAGAUUAUGUCUCAAAAAAAAAAAAAAAAAAAAGAAUCACCAAAAUAAAAAAUAGUAACAAUACUAUUGUCAAGGAUGCAAAGGAACUGUACCACUCAAUCACUGCUGUGAGAAUUUAAAGUGGUGCAGCCACUCUGGGAAACAGCUUGGCUGUUUUUUUUUAUGACUGAAUGUGCAACUACUAUAUGAUGCAGUAAUUUCAUUUUUGCACAUUUAUCCCGGAGAAAUGAAAACAUAUAUUCACACAAAACCUGUAUAUGAAUGCUAAUAAAAGUCAAUUGGCCAGGUGUGGUGGCUCAUGCCUGUAAUCCCAGCACUUUGGGAGGCUGAGGCAGUGGAUCACCUGAGGUCAGGAGUUUGAGACCAGCCUGGCCAACGUGGUGAAAACUCGUCUCUACUAAAAAUACAGCAAUUAGCUGGGUGUAAUAGUAGCCACCUGUAAUCCCAGCUACUGGGGAGGCUGAAGCAGAAGAACCUCUUGAACCCGGGAGGCAGAGGUUGCAGUGAGCUGAGAUCGUACCACUGCACUCCAGCCUGGGCGAUAGAGUGAGACUCUGUCUCAAAAAAUAAAAUAAAAUAAAUAAAAAGAUUAGAUAAUCUGCAAAGUUCCUGUGAGCGCUGUCAUUUUGUCACUCUGGUUUUUCAGAUUCUUCCCCUGGAGGCUGGAGUUUCCAGGAUGUCAAAAUUACCUCUGCUUGGGUGAGCUAUUUCAAGCAGCUGGGAUACCUGUGUCACUCCUGCUGUCUGCCAGUGACUGCCCAGGUGUCUGCUGGUUCCUCCCCAGGAGUAGGGAGGAACCAGGUGGGCUGGCUGGGAUGGGUGGAUAUUUAAAGACCAGGCCUUGGACGCUGCAGCACUUCUAUCUCUGCUUGAUGCCUGCUGCCACGUGGCUGGUCCUCCUCCUCCUGCUGUGGCUGAGCCUUGGGGUGAAGACAGGCAGCUGCUCCCAACCCCAGAACCUUUGCUGUCUUGGGACGGAUCACCGCUGCAAGAGGGGAAGUUGCUACUGUGAUGAAUUCUGCCAUGUGGCACCAGACUGCCACCCAGACCACAGUGUCCUCUGCAACCCUGGUAACUCACAUACAGGCCCGAUUCCACCUACAGCAAAGCUGGAUGCGAUGGCUGGCAGAGGCAAACCCUUUGCCUGCACUUCAGGCCAAAGCCGGGAUGUGGCCUAGAUGGUUCCUAAGGUCCCUGACAAUCCUGAGAUCUUGCAUCUUGUCUAUUUCAGGUCAAAGGUGCCUACAUGCUCCUUCUAGCUUUGUUUCCCUGAUGUUCCUUGCCACCUGCUACUCCUCUCUGAGCUACUUUUCCAGGUUCCACAGGGAGAGGUUCAGCUGUCCGUGGUAGACAUGAGGGUAGAGAAUGAGGUGGUUGGGUUCCACUUACCUUUCUAUCAUCUUGCAGUAUGGAUGUCUCUUGACUGGUACCGUGUAGACUUUUGAGGGCACACAGGAGUCUGCAGAGAGAUACUGGGGACAUUGAGCAGCAGCAGUGGGGUUGGGAGGCAGAAAUGAGGACAGGAACAUUUACCUUGUGUUUCUCUCAGCUUCUCAGAUGACCAAGAUGGUGCUGCAGAUGGUGCUGAGGAUGGAGAACCCACCAAGCCCCGCUAGGAGCCACCUAGACUGGAUGCAGAGCAUGGUUCAGUGAGUUCUCCAAACCAGCCUCCCAGGAAUGCCAUUCAACAUGGCUGUGAGGAGAAUAAAGAAGAGAGCCUGACUCCUCUCCUGAGGCCCCUUCCCCACCCUGAGCCAGCAGGAUCCACGGAGCAGAGGUCAUCUGUCCCCAGCUUGGCCCACUGAGGCCAGCAUGGCUGGGCCCAGGAUGCUUGUCUCUCAGCUCCCAUCCUGUGUACUUCCACAUUGGUUUAACCAGAGGAAAACCGAAAUCUACAAUUGUCAUAAACACAUUUAAAUGUGCGUAGAAUCAGCCAUACAAAUUGUGAAACAUACAUUUGGCUCAUGGUAUUAUUCACUGUUUUGUGGUGGUUACAGUGACUAUAGCAAACAUUUCUUGAAAGUAGAAAAUAAGAACCCAGCACCCCUUGAGCUAAGUAAUGUGCCCUCUGUCCUCAAUAUUCCUUCCUGGGCUCCACAUUACUGCCCUUAAGUCUGGAAAUAUUCUGGUCUGAGCCCCGUAGUCCAGGCCUCAUGUUCAGGCUUUCUGUCCCCAGUGAUGAGAGGAGAGACGGCAGACCUGUCUCCGGUGAGCUCAGAUGGGCCUCCCGGAGUCUCCUGGGGUGCACAGGAUUUCAAAGAUCCAGGAGGCGCUGCCAGGGGCUGUGAGGUCUGAUGAACCUCUCACCUUCCCUCCCACACCUGCCCUUUUCCUGUUUCUGUGGAUGCUUUUGCUGUCCUUGGCUUCCUGGACUCCAGACCUCAGGGUCAUCUUUUGCUUCUCUCUGCAAGGUGCCAAGUCUCUCUAGGUUUUUGUUUGUUUGUUUUGUUAUUGAGACGGAGUCUCACUCUAUUGCCCAGGCUGGAGUGCAGUGGUGCGAUCUCAGCUCACUGCAACUUCCGACUCCCUGGUUCAAGCAAAUUCUCCUGCCUCAGCCUCUGGAGUAGCUGGGAUUACAGGCGCCCGCCACCACGCCUGGCUAUUUUUUUUUUUUUCUAGUAGAGAUAGGGUUUCACCAUGUUGGCCAGGCUGGUCUCGAUCUCCUGACCUCAUGAUCCACCCGCCUUGGCCUCCCAAAGUGCUGGGAUUACAGGAGUGAGCCACUGUGCCCGGCCGUCUCUCUAGUUUUACUUUGCAAUGUCGUUCAUAUCCAUCCCCUUUCUAGUGCCACUGCUGAAGUCCUAAGUCACUGCCUCCUAACUGGUCCUCCUGCCCUAACUCCUCCCUGAC
rnacentral:lncRNA from 1 species